rnacentral:rRNA from 1 species
UAAGACGAACCGUGCGAACGUUGUUCGGAAUCACUGGGCUUAAAGGGCGCGUAGGCGGGGUCGCCAGUCUGUGGUGAAAUCCCCCGGCUCAACCGGGGAACUGCCGUGGAUACUGCGACUCUCGAGGGGUGUAGGGGCAUGCGGAACUUCCGGUGGAGCGGUGAAAUGCGUAGAUAUCGGAAGGAACGCCGGUGGCGAAAGCGGCGUGCUGGACACCUUCUGACGCUGAGGCGCGAAAGCCAGGGGAGCAAACGGGAUUAGAUACCCCGGUAGUCCUGGCCCUAAACGAUGGGUACUAGAUUGUGGACUGGACAUGGGUUCACAGUCGAAGCAAAAGUGAUAAGUACCCCGCCUGGGGAGUAUGGUCGCAAGGCUG